ACGGACACAUCACGUUGAAACUCCGGUUCCCGUACGAUCACCGAAGUUAAGCAACCUCGGGUCUGGUCAGUGCAUGGAUGGGUAACCGCUUAGAAAUACCGGGUGCGGUAAG